GAUGAAGAACGUAGCGAAAUGCGACAAGUAAUGUGAAUUGCAGAAUUCCGUGAAUCAUCGAAUCUUUGAACGCACAUUGCGCCCUCUGGUAUUCUGGAGGGCAUGCCUGUCCGAGCGUCAUUUAAACCUUCAAGCUAAGCUUGGUGUUGGGUGACUGUCCGCUUCACUGCGGACUCGCCUCAAAAUUAUUGGCGGCCGGUACAUUGGCUUCGAGCGCAGCAGAAACGCGAACUCGGGCCCGUCGUAUUGGCUCCCAGAAGCUAUCUUCACAAUUUUGACCUCGGAUCAGGUAGGGAUACCCGCUGAACUUAAGCAUAUCAAUAAGCGGAGGA
rnacentral:misc_RNA from 1 species